rnacentral:lncRNA from 1 species
CUUUGAUAUGGAUAUUGAUUAACGUCUGUGGCUUAAGGGCUCCAGGGUGUAAGACAUCCACAGGCCUUGUUUUAUUCUAGGAAAUGCGCAUUCCCCACAGGCUUUGUUUACUGUAGGAAAUGCGAAUCUCUAGCCCACUCCUCCACUGAUAAAAAAGGAAUGAGAGGAGGGGUGACUUCAUCUAAGGAAAGAAAAGGACAAAAAACCCAUAAAACUCUGGGGACAUUUCCAACCCUAAAACCCCUAUCAGACAAGGAUUGAUACAGGUAAUUGAACAAGGCCAAUGGGAGAAAAACCACCUCUUUCUGGAUCCCAUGUUGGUACCCUCCCCCUCCCCAUCUUUAAGGAAUAAAAAACUCUAAAGGACAAUAGAGAAGGGGGGCUCUUCUCCCCGCUCCCAGCCUGUCCUGGGAGCUAUUUGCUUUUUUUGUCUUUUUGCCAUUUCUUGGGCCGCUCCCGUGGCAUAUGGAGGUUCCCAGGCUAGGGGUCGAAUCAGAGCUGUAGCCACUGGCCUACGCCAGAGCCACAGCAACGCGGGAUCCGAGCCACGUCUGCAACCUACACCACAGCAAUGCCGGAUCGUUAACCUACUGAGCAAGGGCAGGGAUCGAACCCGCAACCUCAUGGUUCCUAGUCGGAUUCGUUAACCACUGCGCCACGACGGGAACUCCUAUUUGCUUUUCUUUAAUACUUUGCCUGCUUGCUGCCUGUGUGUUCAUUCUCCAACCGCAGUGAACAAGAACCUGGAUUCUGGUACCAUCUUUCCAGUAUCACGUCCAGACUCAGCCCUUCCACCUGUGAAUUCCUUUUCUACCCUGAACAUGCAGCUUCCUAGAAAGGAUGGGCACAAAGUACCAAUGCCUAAGUGAGGAAAGUGAUUGAGGAGACACUCAGCCUCCUUACAUGACGUGCAUAGUUUAUCAAAUUAGAAGGAUCAUGAAUUUCUGGGGCAAAGUCAAAGUACAUUCUGGAGUCAUUCUGGAAAGAUAUGGAAGUUACACUCCACCCCAUACAUCCUGUGUAAUUAACACCGACACAAAACCAUUAUCCUCACAUGUAGUUUCACCUAGAAGUUUUAGAAGGAAUCACCACUUUCAUGUAAUAACCAUAUCUCACAUUCACCUAAAACAGCUAUAAUUAGAAGAUAUAUUUAGUAUUUAUCACUAAUCAAACAAAAUAUGGCCACUAAGGCAGUGUCCAAGGAAUGAGAUACACAAAUUAGAGAGAUACAAAAUCAUGGCUAAUAGUCACUCAUGAGCAGAUCUAAAAAUUUUAUUUGAUUCUUUUUAUUCCAUUUCUCAGGACAUUAGUGCUCAUAUAGCUUUUUUUUUUUUUUCCUUUCCUUUUUUUCACCAUAGAAUGAUGUGUUUCCUUUCCUCUAUAAAGACUAUGAAGAGAAGAAGAAAAAUGCAAGUGGAAAAAAAGGAAAAACAUACACUGGUAAAUGGAGGUGAUUCCAUAGAGAAUUUUUACAAGUCAGCUAUAUUUUUUCAUUGUUCUAAAAUACUUCAGAAUCAUUGCUGGUAGCUUGAAGAAAUACACACCAUGCUCUGCCCCCGAGCUAAAUAAACUGUAUUUAUUUUAAGCUCUAAUGCCACAUUUCAAGAAAAAUGUGUAUCUAGAGAAGAUGACUGGGAUGGUACGAAAUUCCCAAAAUAUAUCAUAUAGAAAAAAGGGGAGGAAAUAGGGAUACUUGUCCUCCAAAGGACACAAACAUUCUGAAAUAAUAAUAGCAGCCAUUAUGCUGUAGACCCUAAAGUAUAUGUCAAUUAUAUCUCAAUAAAACCAAAAGAAUAAAUAAUAACAGCAAACAUUUAGUGAAUGUGUAUCCCACACCAGGCAUUGAGCUAAAUAACUUAUGUGCAUUAUCUCAUCUAAUCCUUACAACUACCAUACAAGAUAAUAUUACAUUUUACAGACAAAGAAUCCAAAGAUUGGAUAUACUCAACCGAGAUGUCAGCUGACACCUGGGAAAAGUAAAACCAUUCUGCAGGUCUGCCUUACAUUUAACGCCUAACACCUUCAUCUGUGACAAUGGCUUCAAUGUAAGAGACAGCAGCCCAGCCUCUCUUGUAGUUGAUCCCUGGCUUCGCUCAGUGGGUUAAGGAUCUGGCAUUGCCGUGAGCUGUGACGUAGGUCAAAGAUGUGGCUCGGAUCUGGCGUUGCUGUGGCUAUGGCGUAGGCCAGUGGUUACAGCUCCAAUUCGACCCCUAGCCAAGGAACCUCCAU